UCCUUCCUCCAUGUCAUGUACAGAAGGUAAAGAAGCUUCUGUAAAAGGGUGGAAUCCUGGAAAGCCUGCCUUUCCAGCCAGCGGUGAUGAGAUCAAAAUGACAUGAACACAUAAGAAUCCACCUCCCUGUGUACCACACCUCCAAGGCCCUGUGGCAUGGCUCAUGUUGAAGAGUGGCAUUCAAGACUGCCUUGUUCAUUAACCAGCACAUCUUGAAAGUACCUGGAUUGCUGCUUUAUUCAGGUUUAUUUUAGACAACCCAAAUGGUGCUGAGCUUUAAGACAAGACACAAAUAAGCUGUCCAACACUCCCAGGAGCCAAAAGGGGUUGCGAAGUCUGGUCAGCCAGCAGCUGCACUACUGUGAGCCUUAGUUAACCCAACGAUUUGGUUAUAAAAACUGAAGACAGAUAAAGGGAAAAGAGAAAGGAAAUAAAGUAAGAAUU